rnacentral:rRNA from 1 species
ACGGGUGAGUAACACGUGGGCAACCUGCCCUUGAGACUGGGAUAACUUCGGGAAACCGGAGCUAAUACCGGAUAAUAUAAGGAACCUCCUGGUUCCUUAUUGAAAGAUGGUUUCGGCUAUCACUUAAGGAUGGGCCCGCGGCGCAUUAGCUAGUUGGUGAGGUAACGGCUCACCAAGGCGACGAUGCGUAGCCGACCUGAGAGGGUGAUCGGCCACACUGGGACUGAGACACGGCCCAGACUCCUACGGGAGGCAGCAGUAGGGAAUCUUCCACAAUGGACGAAAGUCUGAUGGAGCAACGCCGCGUGAGUGAUGAAGGCCUUCGGGUCGUAAAGCUCUGUUGUUAGGGAAGAACAAGUGCGAGAGUAACUGCUCGCACCUUGACGGUACCUAACCAGAAAGCCACGGCUAACUACGUGCCAGCAGCCGCGGUAAUACGUAGGUGGCAAGCGUUAUCCGGAAUUAUUGGGCGUAAAGCGCGCGCAGGUGGUUUCUUAAGUCUGAUGUGAAAGCCCACGGCUCAACCGUGGAGGGUCAUUGGAAACUGGGGAACUUGAGUGCAGAAGAGGAAAGUGGA